AACGAACGCUGGCGGCAUGCCUAACACAUGCAAGUCGAACGAGACCUUCGGGUCUAGUGGCGCACGGGUGCGUAACGCGUGGGAACCUGCCCUUAGGUUCGGAAUAACUCCCCGAAAGGGGUGCUAAUACCGGAUAAUGUCUUCGGACCAAAGAUUUAUCGCCUUUGGAUGGGCCCGCGUUGGAUUAGCUAGUUGGUAGGGUAAAAGCCUACCAAAGCGACGAUCCAUAGCUGGUCUGAGAGGAUGAUCAGCCACACUGGGACUGAGACACGGCCCAGACUCCUACGGGAGGCAGCAGUGGGGAAUAUUGGACAAUGGGCGAAAGCCUGAUCCAGCAAUGCCGCGUGAGUGAUGAAGGCCUUAGGGUUGUAAAGCUCUUUUACCCGGGAUGAUAAUGACAGUACCGGGAGAAUAAGCUCCGGCUAACUCCGUA
rnacentral:rRNA from 1 species